rnacentral:rRNA from 1 species
GUACACACCGCCCGUCACACCAUGGGAGUUGGUUUCACCCGAAGGUAGUGCGCUAACCCGCAAGGGAGGCAGCUAACCACGGUGGGAUCAGCGACUGGGGUGAGGUCGUAACAAGGUAGCCGUAGGUGAACCUGCAGAAGGAUCA